UGGGGAAUAUUGGACAAUGGGCGCAAGCCUGAUCCAGCAAUGCCGCGUGUGUGAAGAAGGCCUUCGGGUUGUAAAGCACUUUAAGCAGGGAAGAAAAACUCGGUCUAAUACAUCGAGUCUUGACGGUACCUGAAGAAUAAGCACCGGCUAACUCUGUGCCAGCAGCCGCGGUAAUACAGAGGGUGCUAGCGUUAAUCGGAUUUACUGGGCGUAAAGCGUGUGUAGGUGGUUGUUCAAGUCAGUUGUGAAAUCCCUGGGCUUAACCUGGGAACUGCUUCUGAGACUGAACGACUAGAGUACGGUAGAGGGUGGUGGAAUUUCCGGUGUAGCGGUGAAAUGCGUAGAUAUCGGAAGGAACAUCAAUGGCGAAGGCAGCCACCUGGGCCUGUACUGACACUGAGACACGAAAGCAGUGGGGGAUCAAACAGGAUUAGAUACCCUGGUAGUCCACGCCGUAAAACGAUGAGAACUUGACGUCGGUUUGCUCUGCAAGUCGGUGUCGUAGCUAACGCGAUAAGUUCUCCGCCU
rnacentral:rRNA from 1 species